AAGUACAGAGGGUUACCUAUUCAGCCCUUGGGGAGCUUUGAGCAACACUCAUAACAGUGUACUUUUGACAUAGGACCUCUGAGUGAGUGCAAAAAGCAAGGAGAUAGGUGUGGAGAGUAAGAUCUGUUCAGAAACUUGGAAUGAUCUAGUGUGGCUGGAUGGGACCAUGUCUGUGAGGAAGUUCCAGAAGGGACUGUAGAGGUGUGCUGGGGCCAGAUCAUGAAGGGCCUUGUGCAACAUUAAGGAGGUGAAACUUUCACCUGAAAGUGAUGGUGAAGCACCGAUGGAUUUUUAGGUAACUGACCAGAUUGUGUUUUAGAAAAGCUAUUCUGGUAGUUAUUCGUAUGAAAGAUGGAAUUUCGGGGAGGAGUUGGUGAGAUUGAAGAAGAUAAACAAACUGAAAGUCUUCUAUAAUAAUAAGGAAAAUAUUUUGGGAGAAAUCCUGAUGAGUUAAGGCCCCCUCUAUACUACCCAUUUUUACAUUUCAUUUAAAAAUUAUAUGAAAAUAUGACAUGAACUGUUAGUUAUGGAGGAUAUAAAGUUGGAUGUUGCUUGUAUUAACAAGAAAAACUAUGCAAUACUUUAACUCCAGGUCAGGAUUCUUUAACAACUGACAUCUUAAGGCAACAUUGGUUCUCUGAGAAAGUGAAAGUUUUGCUGGCUGGAUCAGGAAAAGGAAGUGAUGCCUGGAAAUGGAGUAGCCAUCUAAGGGAUGAUAUCAAAAGCCACAUGCUGAGCAUUGUGAAGGGAAGAGGUUGAAGGAGCAGCAAGCAGUUGCACUAGUCCUGGACUUGUGAGUUACGGAUUUCUUGUGACGUGAGAAAAAUAAACCCCUUUUUGGUCAAACCCUGUUGGCCAGCUUUUUAUUACAGGAAGGCAAACUGAAUCCUCACUGGCUCAAGUGACUUGCUCACAGCCAUCAAACUAGUGAUGACAGCCAGGAUUAAGACUUGGAUCUGUUUCACUUCAAAGGCCAUGCUCUUUCCAGGCUAUUGGGCAACUUCAAGGUUUGUUACUCUUUCUAUGUACUUCUCAUUUUAGCUUCCUGGAGGCUGGGAAAGUGUUCAGGAACUCACAGACUCUUAC
rnacentral:lncRNA from 10 species